rnacentral:rRNA from 1 species
AACGAACGCUGGCGGCAGGCUUAACACAUGCAAGUCGAACGGUUGUAGCAAUACAGCAGUGGCGCACGGGUGAGUAACGCGUGGAUAUCUGCCUUUUGGUUCGGAAUAACUCCGGGAAACUGGAGCUAAUACCGGAUGGUUCCUACGGGAUAAAGAUUUAUCGCCAAAAGAUGAGUCCGCGUACGAUUAGCUAGUUGGUGAGGUAAUGGCUCACCAAGGCGACGAUCGUUAGCUGGUCUGAGAGGACGAUCAGCCACACUGGGACUGAGACACGGCCCAGACUCCUACGGGAGGCAGCAGUGGGGAAUAUUGGACAAUGGGCGAAAGCCUGAUCCAGCAAUGCCGCGUGAAUGAUGAAGGUCUUAGGAUUGUAAAAUUCUUUCACCGGGGACGAUAAUGACGGUACCCGGAGAAGAAGCCCGGCUAACUUCGUGCCAGCAGCCGCGGUAAU